rnacentral:rRNA from 1 species
CAGCACCUCAAGUGGUCAGGAUGAUUAUUGGGCCUAAAGCAUCCGUAGCCGGCUCUGUAAGUUUCCGGUUAAAUCUGUACGCUCAACGUACAGGCUGCCGGGAAUACUGCAGAGCUAGGGAGUGGGAGAGGUAGACGGUACUCGGUAGGAAGGGGUAAAAUCCUUUGAUCUAUUGAUGACCACCUGUGGCGAAGGCGGUCUACCAGAACACGUCCGACGGUGAGGGGUGAAAGCUGGGGGAGCAAACCGGAUUAGAUACCCGAGUAGUCC